GAAGACAAGAAUCACAACUCGAAAAGAACUGGUUUGUCAGUUGCAAGAAGGCUUAGAGAGAUCCAACGGACAGAGCGCUAAUUCAGCAGCCUGGCGUGGGACAUUUAUCAAGUUGAUCCUUAGAUUUCAAUCAAGGCUGGAUAUUGUGAACCUUUGAGAAAUACUAAAACGUUCCUCAAAGCAGUCCAAUGCACAGUAACAGACUGGGAGGCUGGCUGCAUCCACAAAGAGGUUAAAACAGAUGUGCCAAGAGGAUAAGGAUAAUUGUUUUGGUCACUGAACUAUUCCAAGCCACUACUAGGUGUC